GAAGGCGACUAAAGGGGGGAACAGUAUAUUAACUAAAAAGACUGCUUUUCCCCCCCCAGAUCCCGAACAAUAGACUCUGGCUAGAGCCGAUAUUCCCUGCCCCUAGGGGCACUGUGGGUUGGGGUGUACGUUGUGUUUUCAGUGUUUCCUGUACACAGAAGAAGAGACCAGGAAAUAAAAGGGGCGAAAACAUGGAGUUCAGGGCGCUCCUCAGCCCGAGGACACAAGGAUUUAUGCCUGGACGCCGACAACCCGGACCGCUCAUCACUACCCGCUACCUCCGGAGAACUACGCGACCAGACUUCGCAAGCCAGGAAGGACCUUUCGGACGUACCGUCGUUUCCCUACAACGCCUGCGAGUCCCGUCAGAAAGCGACGUACUCUAGCGUAAGCAGGAUCUGGUGCAGGUCUUCUGGUCCGCUCCGGCCUCCGUGACCAGCGAGGGACGGCGCCGGCGGACGGAUCUCCACUCUACAUCCUAGAGCACGGUUUAUUUGGUUUGCUUUGUUUUUCCAACUCGCCGUUUGAGGGACUGGUCUGGCGCGAGUUGGAACGAACGAUUUUAUACUCUUUUACUGUUUUGUCUGUUAUAGGGAUAUUUUAUCAACAAGUCUGUCUUCCUUGUAUGGGAUCCCUAUAAACCAGGGGUUGGCUACGGCAGGCCCUGUUGGAUACCAGGCUGAAUUGUUCAGCGAGCCCUUCCUUCUGUGUUCUUGAGGUUGGUCCCCCUCACGUGUGUUCAACGUGUGCUGUGUGUAGCGUUCAGCGUUCAGUGUUCGCAGUGUGUAGUGUGCAGUGUGCAGAGUUCAACGUUUGCUGUGUCUAUAGGCUUGCAGUGAGGGCAGGGUGUGCAACGUGUGCGGUGUCGAGGUUGGCUCAUAAAGGUAUGGUUACGGUUAUCCAGAGUACCAGCCUACCCCCUGGCUUUCUCCCUCCCAUAUUAAGUGAUAGGUAGAUUCGACUUACUUGUGCUCUUUGUUUUAUGAAAUUGUAUUAAUAAAGCAUUUCUGUUAAUAAUUGA